rnacentral:lncRNA from 1 species
AUUAAGAUGCGCAAAAGAACACAGACACUGGACAGAGGAACUCUGCCUAGAAGGCCAGCAUCCCGGAGUCGCCUCUUCACUGUUGAAAUUGAGACUGGUGUUUUGCAGAUCUGCCAAUCUGCUCGGUGGAGUGUUCCAGGCCUGGAGUGGCAUGCUGGAACUUCCAGAGUCUUGUAGAGCUGAAGCAGUGUGAUGUGGUCCAGGUGGCGAAUCGCAUCUCUGCAUGUCUGGCAGACAUAUCAGUGUGGAUUUCGAAUCACCACCUCAAGCUGAACCUCGGCAAGACGGAGCUGCUCUUCCUCCCGGAGAAGGACUGCCCGUUCCAUGAUCUCGCCAUCACGGUUGACAACUCCAUUGUGUCCUCCUCCCAGAGUGCUAAGAGCCUUGGCGUGACCCUGGACAACACCCUGUCGUUCUCCGCUAAAAUCAAGGCGGUGACCUGAUCCUGUAGGUUCAUGCUCUACAACAUUCGCAGAGUACGACCCUGCCU